AAUCUAUUUUUUUGUUUGUUUAUCAUUCCAUUAUAGAGUGGAAAAUAGAGUAGGGUUAGAGCAAUUUUAUUUCAUUUUCACUUUUAUUCCAUUUUGGAGGAAAAAAUGGAGUUUUACAUUAGAGAUGCUCUUAUAAAUGCGAUUUGCUUUCACUUGUCAUGGUUAGAAAUUCCAUAUAUAGCCGUUAUUGACUCCUUCAAUGUGGAUUUAUAUCUACAUUUCUUUUAAAUCUUCUGGGUAAUCCCAAAUCCAUGGAAAAGCUACGUGCGAAAAUUAAUAUGAUUAGUUACGAUAUAGUCUCGUUCCAUGUGUUAGUCAGUUGGAUAUCAAUUAAUGGACAUUACCGAUAAAGAAAUAUCUUCCAGCACCCAAAAAAAGGGAACAACCUUAGCUUUAAAAGAUAACGAAUUUGCCAAUCUACGAAGAAUUGGGUUUCUCACUUCUCCUCAAAAGAUAACAGUCUUACAACAACACAUCAA
rnacentral:lncRNA from 1 species